rnacentral:rRNA from 1 species
AUGAACGCUGGCGGCGUGCCUAAUACAUGCAAGUCGAGCGAACAGACGAGGAGCUUGCUCCUUUGACGUUAGCGGCGGACGGGUGAGUAACACGUGGAUAACCUACCUAUAAGACUGGGAUAACUUCGGGAAACCGGAGCUAAUACCGGAUAACAUGUUGAACCGCAUGGUUCAACAGUGAAAGACGGUCUUGCUGUCACUUAUAGAUGGAUCCGCGCCGCAUUAGCUAGUUGGUAAGGUAACGGCUUACCAAGGCAACGAUGCGUAGCCGACCUGAGAGGGUGAUCGGCCGCACUGGAACUGAGACACGGUCCAGACUCCUACGGGAGGCAGCAGUAGGGAAUCUUCCGCAAUGGGCGAAAGCCUGACGGAGCAACGCCGCGUGAGUGAAGAAGGUCUUCGGAUCGUAAAACUCUGUUAUUAGGGAAGAACAAAUGUGUAAGUAACUAUGCACGUCUUGACGGUACCUAAUCAGAAAGCCACGGCUAACUACGUG